AAGCCAUGGAUCAGCCAUAAUAAUUCGAACUGCUCUGAUUAUUAAACAAUUUUCCUUGCCCCACGCAGACCCUACUUGCCUGCAGAUCCUGCCAUACACACAUAGCGGGGCUCUCUGGCUGCUUGGCCCCGGGGCCGUGGGGCGUGCGUGGGGAGGGGGCUGCAGCACGUGUGCAGGGCUGCUCUGGCCUGACUCACCGAUGAGGGGUACCACCAGGAUGUACCUCCUGCUCUCCAGCAGCCGUGCCAGACUGGCCAGGUGGUCAAUGAAGCCGUUGGUGUCUGGUACAAGGAACAAGGGUCUGAUCUCGAGCUCCAUCUGCCUCAUCUGACUCUGGUCCUCCAGGACAGCCUACAGGGACACAGAACGCAGCAGGAGUCCAUGAGGUGUGAUGGAUUUGGACCCAACUCACAUGCUUGCAAAGAGCAACACCCAGGCUGAUGAGAACCGCCACCACCCACCCUCCAGCAGAGUGUUUCCUAAACAUUUUACCCGUCAGAUUCCUGGCAGCUGUGCACGGCGCCUGUGCCGGCCGUCACGUCCCAUUCCGAUCUCUGGGUCGCACGGUGAGAGAAGGACACAGGAUGCGCAGGGAGUGAAAAAGUGAUGUCGGUGGGGAGAGUGCCAAGUCCCUACUCACAGCCAUGGGACGCUUGCGGAGACGGGGGAAGCAAGCCGCUGUGGAGUUCAGAGGCCGGUAGUGAGAUUUAUUUUUGUUUGUAUGAGUAAAAAGCUGCAGAAGCCUCUGGUGGGGGUAAGGGGGGGGCUCCAUUGGAAUGCUGUGAUUCAGACAGACUGGCCCUGGCCUGGAGUCAAGUGUGCUGACCCGGAAGGAGAGUUCCACAGGAACCCUCCUUGCUGCAGCUAAGACUGGGCCACAGUGGUCCUUGGAGAAUGAACUGAGAACCCAAAGAAAGCAUGGAUGCUUUGAAUCAGAUCAGUGGGAAUAAGGACCAAGUUGUCAUCAAGUGUGCAAGGAAAAAAGAACUCAAUUCUGUUUCAGGAAGGUGCUAAGUAACCAACUUUCUCUGAAGUAUGAGAGCAUCCUUGAGCAAGCCGGUGAGAAACUGGGAAGAGAUAAUCCACAAUAACAUCUAAUGAGGAAGCUGACAGGCUUGGGAGAAGGGCUCUUUCACAGGUUAAGUUCCUUCUAGACAGUGGAGAUGAUCUGAGGAUGCUGACCCACUAAAAAUUGAGACACAGAGAAUUACAAAUAAAAAGUAACACAAUUAGGGUG